GAUGAACGCUAGCGGCAGGCUUAACACAUGCAAGUCGAGGGGUAUAGUUCUUCGGAGCUAGAGACCGGCGCACGGGUGCGUAACGCGUAUGCAAUCUACCUUUUGCAGAGGGAUAGCCCAGAGAAAUUUGGAUUAAUACCCCAUGGUAUGUGAGAAUGGCAUCAUUUUCACAUUAAAGUCACAAAGGCAAAAGAUGAGCAUGCGUCCCAUUAGCUAGUUGGUAAGGUAACGGCUUACCAAGGCAACGAUGGGUAGGGGUCCUGAGAGGGAGAUCCCCCACACUGGUACUGCGACACGGACCAGACUCCUACGGGAGGCAGCAGUGAGGAAUAUUGGACAAUGGGCGCAAGCCUGAUCCAGCCAUGCCGCGUGCAGGAUGACGGUCCUAUGGAUUGUAAACUGCUUUUGUACAGGAAGAAACACUGGUUCGUGAACCAGCUUGACGGUACUGUAAGAAUAAGGACCGGCUAACUCCGUGCCAGCAGCCGCAGUAAAAC
rnacentral:rRNA from 1 species